rnacentral:rRNA from 1 species
UAGCGAAGGGGCUAGCGUUGUUCGGAAUCACUGGGCGUAAAGGGCGCGUAGGCGGCUUUGUAAGUCGGGGGUGAAAGCCUGUGGCUCAACCACAGAAUUGCCUUCGAUACUGCAUGGCUUGAGACCGGAAGAGGUAAGUGGAACUGCGAGUGUAGAGGUGAAAUUCGUAGAUAUUCGCAAGAACACCAGUGGCGAAGGCGACUUACUGGACACAUAUUGAACGCUGAGGUGCGAAAGCGUGGGGAGCAAACAGGG